AAUCCAUGCAUUGGACAUUUCCGAAUUAAAUCUUGAAAACGUUCCCAAGCUUCAUAUAAUGUUUCAUCCUCCGAUUUCUGAAAACAUGUGAUGUCAUUUCUAAGCUU
rfam:Gossypium raimondii Chr02_contig_753, whole genome shotgun sequence.